rnacentral:rRNA from 1 species
GACGAACGCUGACGGCGUGCUUUAGACAUGCAAGUCGAACGAGAAAGCCCUUCGGGGUUAGUAAAGUGGCGAACGGGUGAGUAACACGUGGGCAAUCUGCCCUUCGUAGGGGGACAACCGGGGGAAACCCCGGCUAAUACCCCGUAAGCUUGUCGGGUCGCAUGGCCUGACAAGGAGAGGUAGCUUCGGCCAUCCGGCGAAGGAGGAGCCCGCGGUUCAUUAGCUAGUUGGUGAGGUAACGGCUCACCAAGGCUACGAUGUAUAGCUGGUCUGAGAGGAUGAUCAGCCACACUGGGACUGAGACACGGCCCAGACUCCUACGGGAGGCAGCAGUCGGGAAUCUUGCACAAUGGGCGAAAGCCUGAUGCAGCAACGCCGUGUGAGCGACGAAGGCCUUAGGGUCGUAAAGCUCUGUUGUUAGGGACGAAGGGCGAAGGGUUAAUAGCCCUUAGCCUGACGGUACCUUUCGAGGAAGCCCCGGCUAACUACGUGCCAGCCGCCGCGGUAA